CUGAAGCUCACUUCAUCACACUCUUACCACGGCAAUAAUUCACCAAAUUCAAGACUAUUUGUCUACUUCACAUCCAGACCUUCUUUGACUAUAUCCAGGACAGGAGAAUCAGGUGAUUCCACAUAUAAUCUGAUUUCUUCAACUCUCCAGCCCAGACCUAUCAGGGGUCCUGGUAAUCUUCAUUCUUCUCGGCCAUCAAAAAUUUCCUGUCAAAGGCAGAAUGUUUGAUAUAGUCUUAGACUUGCCUCUGAUUAUUCAGCAGAAAUCAAGGCCAAGCUUGCCUGAAGUGACACUUAUUUGAAAGAAAUUAAUUUGAUACAACAAUCAGAAGACCUGGCUGAUGAAGUCUUUUGCAAUCGAAUGAGGAAGAUAAUCAGUAAGAGACAAUGAGGCUGAAUUUAUAUUUCAUAUAAAUAGUGUGCUGAAAGUAAAAGAAAUUUAAACACCAGUUUUACUCAACUAAUAAAGGUCUUAGAAAUAAAUUUCUUCUUUCCCAAAUGCAAUGCUUAAUGGGCUUGUGAACUUUUCAUUUUAAAUAACUGUUUAAUUUCUUAAUUUUAAAGAUCUCUGCAAUA